GCUACAUGGUCGGCUACGGCAGCUACUUCCCGACGCACGUGCACCACCGCGGCGCGUCCAUCCCGUCCGUCCACGGCGAGAAGGCCACGGUCGGGUGCAUGGACGGCUUCGACAAGUACUACAACAGCAAGGGCGCUGACCCCAACGUGCUCAACGGCGCCAUCGUCGGCGGGCCUGACGGCAACGACGGAUUCGUCGACGACCGCUGCAACUACCAGAGCGCCGAGCCCACCAUCGCCGGGAACGCGCCCAUCUGCGGCGUCUUCGCCCGCCUCGCCUCC
rnacentral:lncRNA from 1 species